UCGAACCUUUGGAGAAAAAACGUAACGCAUAUUUGAAACCAGUCCUUUCAAUUUCUCUUCCGAUUAACUCACCGCAAUGAAUGUUUCGAUAACUGUAACUCGAUCCAAUGAAUGUUUCGUUGACUGUAACAGAUAUGAGAUUUCAAAAUGGUUUCUUCUUUUUAGGCUUUCGGUUAGAUUCACUUCUGCAACCAAAACCUCCCAGCUUUUAGAUGAUGCAAACUCAAUGGAAGCAACUCCUUUCUAUAUAAGUUGGUACACCAAUUCCUGGUGGUCUAUUAUUUUAGCUAAUGAAGGUAUGUUCCAAAGUAUUGUCUUGGAUUUCUUGUCAAUAUGCAAGAUGGUUAGUAUUUUCUUGGCUUUUGAGAUAUGGGUUCUCUUUAGUUGAUUAUAGGUGUUUUCGAAUUGGGGUUGUGUUAAUUUUCAUUAAAAUCUGCUUAAUCAUGUACAUGGCAGAGGAAGUUGUUAAUUUACACCACCACUUUCAGUCAUGUAUUGAUGGUCAUCCUCUGCACCAUCCUUUCAGUCCUUUGCUCACUUCAUCCUCUUAUUCCUGGACUAAAAACCAUAAGACACCAAACCAACUGAUCUUAAUUGAUAUACACACCCGUCAACCAUAAGACAUGCCUAAGAAGGAUCCUGUAUAUAUACUACUGACCUUCCACUUCACUGUUCUUACACCCUGAAAUGCAGGUAAAUUAUUGUGUCCAAAUUUUGUUGGGUUGUUCAUCUGAUGUCGCAGAUUGUACAUGAUUUGUUAAUAGAUUUGGUGUAUUUUUUUCCGUUUAACAUUCUGAUGCCCUAAUACUAGAUUACAGUUCAGCUGCAGAGGUUUUGAUACCCCACAAUAACAGAAACAUUGUAGACUAAUAUAAUGUUUUUUACAUGUUCAACAAAAAUGUCCCAUCCAGAACACAAAUUAAUCUACGGAAACUUCAGCAUUUAUCAGGUUAGGUAGAUCAGUGGCAUAUAUCAUACUCUGUUAAUUAAGAAAUGAUGAAAUGCUUACAUGUCCAGGAAAAAUACAGUUUGCUACCGGACUCUUGCCAGAAUUGGUUGGUGGACAGGAUAAUGUGGAGCUCAAGAUGGCUUUAGCGUCAAAAGGGUGAAUGAGGAAACAUGUACAAAAUCUAAAUUUGGUUCAGUGGUUAUUGUUAUAUGGUUUUUGGAUUGUUAAUUCUUGCUGCUUUAAUAGCUGUCAUUUAUUAGCAAAAAACCAGUGACGCGGUAUUCAGGAGGCACAAGGCCAUUUUCUGGGGGGUAGUUAGAGACACUAGCUUUUGCUAUCUUUCAAGCCACACUCUCUUUUUUAUAAGAAUUUACAAGUUCUGUUAAAUAAAAGGAAGUGGUUUUCUUAAUGUAUUCUUCCCGACCAACCAUGGAUAUAGACAAGCAAUUAUAUUGUUGCUUAGGUACUCAAUCCGCAAUUUAAUAUUAUGCAUGUACAUUUGACCAAUUUAUAAAUGAACGAAGGUUUGCGAUUGGUGAGGGCAGAAACAUCUGUUUGCGCAGUAUCAUGUUCAUCAUUGGAAGUUCAAAACUGGUGAAGGCAGAAACAUUUCAGAUUCAAAAGAAAUGGUGAGGGCAACAACAUCUUUUUGUAAGGAGGAGAUGUGGUGCUCAUAUAUGCUUCAAACUGAGUAUGAUAAAAUACCUACAGUUUGAAAAAUAUCUGUAGUCUACCAUAUGGAGCAAGGUGUUACAGGAAAAUUGGGUAAACCCAUUAUAAAGAACGGUUUAAGGAAACUGGCCGGAUCUACCAUUGUAAAGUAUAAAAAGGUGAAUGUCUUUCCAUUUAACAAUUGUGUUUUUGUUUUUUUAUAUAACCCACCAUGUUCCCUACUUAAAUAAUAUUUGGUUGCGCAACCAUAUCAUGUACGAAAAUAGAGGAGUUAGAUGUAACACUUAUAGGGGACCACGAAUAUCGAUAAAUUGUCAUGGAAGAUCACUCACGGGCUAUCAUAGAGUUUUAAAACACUAAACUGGAGUCAUAGAUAAAGUUUAGUUGUUGGCCGGUGUUAUACGUUGAUACCAGUUCUUGACCAGGUUACUAGCUCAGUUAUUAUUUAUGCCAUAUGAGGCCAUUAAUCUGAAUAUAAAGAUAUCAGAAACAACUCUUGAUUUGAAGGUAAAGAGGGUUUUCAGAAGAAGAAGAAGAAAAAGAAUAUAAGGAAAUUUAGAUUUAGUUUUUCAUAAAAAUAAAACAGAUAACAGUUUGUGGUUAUAAACACAUCACCGACUCACAAAUUUUGAAUAUCGAUGUCUUUAUCACAAUGCACUCAAAUAUAUGAUAUAAGAUUGGUAAUUUAAUCUCUCUUACUAACUUUUUUUUUUACUGUACUCGCAUGAUUAGAUAUUUUUGUGAUGGCUCUUCAGCCUUUUGUUUUGUUGAGUUCCAGGUUUUCCAUCAUUCUAACCUGGUUUAGAUGGCGCAAUGCCUUCAGACUUAUGGAGGUAUCAUUGUUACGACUUGGGAAUGCCCACUUCUGCAGAACAAGAACGAUGGGUAAAUGAUUUCGAAUUGAAUCUCCUUGGUGAUGUAGCAGUUUAAACUCAGCAUGACAUUUUGCUUGAUGUGGUAUAUAUGCUCUAAGGUCACCAAGAGAUAAAGCUGUCUUGCUCUGUAUACACCACAUUAUAUUUGGAAAAAAAGAACACAUCUGUCACUUCAUGGUGAAAGGGAGAUGGCAUGUAACAAAAAGUGUAUUUAAAUUGUGGAAAUGACGAGUUUGAAUGUGAUGCGAAUAAUUAUAUGUGAUACUUAACUUGA